CAGAAGACCAUGGCUGAUUUAAUCAGUACGUGUACAUGAAGAUCUUGGCUGUUACCUGUGUGGAAUGGAUGCACAAUGAUUCAGUUAAGAACUGCAGAAACUUGUAAUGAAUGCUCCCAGCUGAUUUAAGCAUCUUUCUCCCAUGGUCCUGAGCUCUCCGGCUGCUUCUAUGCAUGGAGACCAAUAGUGGGCAUACUAAGCUGAUUUAAGCAUCUUUCAUGGUCACAAGUUCUCUAUGUAGGAGGAUGGAGACCAGUAGGGGAUGUACUGGAGCUGCCUUAAGGAUUCUUCCAUGGUCACAAGAUGUCUGGUUGGCUCUGCGUUUGGCACACAGAAACAAAUGCUGAGUUAAGCCUUAUCCCUUGGUCAGUGGUCUCCGUAUUUGUCUGCAGGAGCAUGGAACCCAACAAUGGACGCACUCGAGCUGCUUUAAGCAUCAGUCGUGGUGACGUGCUCUAUGGUUGUCUCUGUGUGGUAAGCAGAGACCAAGACUGAAGCUGAUUAAGGAAUUAUUUCAUGGGCACCAUCUCUGUAGAGGUUGCUUCUGUGUCUUAGGAGCAUAAAGAUCAAU